rnacentral:rRNA from 1 species
GAUGAACGCUGGCGGCGUGCUUAACACAUGCAAGUCGAACGGAAAGGCUCCUGCUUGCAUGGUUACUCGAGUGGCGAACGGGUGAGUAACACGUGGGUGAUCUGCCCUUCACUUCGGGAUAAGCCUUGGAAACUGGGUCUAUUACCGGAUAUGAUGUUUGUUUGCAUGCCAUUGUGGAAUGUUUUUCGGUGUGGGAUUCGCUCGUGGCCUAUCAGCUUGGUGGUGGGGUAAUGGCUUACCAAGGCGUCGACGGGUAGCCGGCCUGAGAGGGUGUACGGCCACAUUGGGACUGAGAUACGGCCCAGACUCCUACGGGAGGCAGCAGUGGGGAAUAUUGCACAAUGGGCGCAAGCCUGAUGCAGCGACGCCGCGUGGGGGAUGACGGCCUUCGGGUUGUAAACUCCUUUCGCUAGGGACGAAGCGCAAGUGACGGUACCUGGAGAAGAAGCACCGGCUAACUACGUG